rnacentral:rRNA from 1 species
UACCGGCAGCACAAGUGGUGUCCACGAUUAUUGGGCUUAAAGCGCUCGUAGCUGGUCCGUGCCGUCUUGCGUGAAAUAUUGGCGCUCAACGUCAAUGCGUGCGUAAGAUACCCACGGGCUAGGGAGCGGGUGAGGUAAGGAGUACUUAUGGGGAAGGGGUUAAAUCCUGUAAUCCUAUAAGGACUAACGGUGGCGAAGGCGCCUUACCAGAACGCAUCCGACAGUGAGGAGCGAAGGCUAGGAGAACGAAUCGG